rnacentral:rRNA from 1 species
UACGUAGGGGGCUAGCGUUGUCCGGAAUCAUUGGGCGUAAAGCGCGUGUAGGCGGUCUGGUAAGUCCGCUGUGAAAGUCGGGGGCUCAACCCUCGGAUGCCGGUGGAUACUGUCGGGCUUGAGUACGGAAGAGGCGAGUGGAAUUCCUGGUGUAGCGGUGAAAUGCGCAGAUAUCAGGAGGAACACCAAUUGCGAAGGCAGCUCGCUGGGACGUUACUGACGCUGAGACGCGAAAGCGUGGGGAGCGAACAGG